AUCACCUGCAUCAACAGAAAACAAAAAUGACCAAACUGGGACUAAUAAAAAUGGUACUACAUUGGCUUGAAAAGUAUAGAAUUUGUAUGAAUCAUUUUCUUUAACUGGUUCAGUGUUGGAAACAAGAAAAUAUAGAAUAUCAAAGGUUUUCUUUUUCUGAGCACAUUCCUUAAACCAUAUGUUCACCAAUCUGUACACUAGAUUUGAUCAGUUUUCAGGAAUUCAAAAUAUCUUAAAUUUUCUUUUCUAUUCAAUAAGUGGAUUAAGACUAAGAACGACUGAUGGAUUUCGGUGAAGAAAACCAUCAACCAGCAGUGUGUACUUUAAAAACUUAUUUUACAAAAAUUGGGUAAACCCCGCACACAUAAUGUGAGGGAUAAAUUGGCCUAAACUUGUAAAUCCUUGAUUUUAUGUUUUUACAAAUACAAAGUACUUGCAGCAUAAUUUUUCUCCUUUGCUCACAGCAAACUGGAAAAGCACUUUAUGCUUAUAUCACCACUUCCAUUUAAAGUUUUACCAUCAGUAUUUUGUUUUCUGAGUUGUAGAAUCAAAACAAAACAAAACAUUCAGACAAUGCAUUUUGGCCUUUUGAUUGGAUAGAAGACCUCCGAAUUUUAUACCAUAACAACACAAUGAACAUUUCCACUGUUUGUUUUGUUAAAACCAUUGUUGGCCAAUUUUAGUAUUUUGCAAUAGCCUGAAAGUUGAAACCUCUCAACAGUUUCAGAAGCAGUUGAGAAGUUGCAAAGGUUUUGUUUCUAGAAUAAAGCACCCAAUUUAACCAAUGAAUAAUUAAUAAGGACAGUUAGUGCAUAAAAGCUGCUAUAUGGUAGCAUUAGCACAUUAUUAAAGCUGAAAGGACAACGACAGAUACCACAGAUCCUGGGUCUCACUGCCUCACCUGGGACAGGAGGUGCAACGGUUCUGGAAGAUGCUGUGAAUCAUGUGCUGGAGAUCUGUGCCAACUUAGACUCAGUUAUUGUCUCAAAC